CGGGAAGCGAAGAGGCGGGCGGGCCAGCGAGGAGCGCGGAGAGAAAAGGCGGGAGCGGCCAGGAGGGCUCAGGCCGAGACACCUUGCAGCUGCCGCCGCCGCCACCGAGCCGCCGCUGUGCUCACUGAUCCGCCGCCAGGGCCACCGCCAUGUCGAGCCGCGGCGGGAAGAAGAAGUCCACCAAGACUUCCCGGUCUGCCAAAGCAGGAGUCAUCUUUCCUGUGGGGCGGAUGCUGCGGUACAUCAAGAAAGGCCACCCCAAGUACAGGAUUGGAGUGGGGGCACCAGUGUACAUGGCCGCUGUCCUGGAAUACCUGACAGCGGAGAUUCUGGAGCUGGCUGGCAAUGCAGCGAGAGACAACAAGAAGGGACGGGUCACACCCCGGCACAUCCUGCUGGCUGUGGCCAAUGAUGAAGAGCUGAAUCAGCUGCUAAAAGGAGUCACCAUAGCCAGUGGGGGUGUGUUACCCAACAUCCACCCCGAGUUGCUAGCGAAGAAGCGGGGAUCCAAAGGAAAGUUGGAAGCCAUCAUCACACCACCCCCAGCCAAAAAGGCCAAGUCUCCAUCCCAGAAGAAGCCUGUGUCUAAAAAAGCAGGAGGCAAGAAAGGGGCCCGGAAAUCCAAGAAGCAGGGUGAAGUCAGUAAGGCAGCCAGCGCCGACAGCACGACCGAGGGCACACCUGCCGACGGCUUCACAGUCCUCUCCACCAAGAGCCUCUUCCUUGGCCAGAAGUGACACGGUUCCCUCGCUCACGUCAUUGCAAGUUCUCCUCCUACCCCUUUCCCUCGUUCUGUCACUAAUUGCACUCUCUCUCAUGAUGCAAUUCCUGUGGUGGACUCUGUUCCAGAAAAUAACCAUUACUGUUUACAUUUUUAACCAUUCUUUGUAUUUUGUAUGCAUUUUUCAAAAGAAAAAGUAGCACUAGUUGUCAUCUUAAGGUCUGGGGAUUUGAAAGUUUUUGU
rnacentral:sRNA from 1 species